rnacentral:rRNA from 1 species
AACGAACGCUGGCGGCAUGCCUAACACAUGCAAGUCGAACGAGACCUUCGGGUCUAGUGGCGCACGGUUGCGUAACGCGUGGGAACCUGCCCUUAGGUUCGGAAUAACUCCCCGAAAGGGGUGCUAAUACCGGAUAAUGUCUUCGGACCAAAGAUUUAUCGCCUUUGGAUGGGCCCGCGUUGGAUUAGCUAGUUGGUAGGGUAAAAGCCUACCAAGGCGACGAUCCAUAGCUGGUCUGAGAGGAUGAUCAGCCACACUGGGACUGAGACACGGCCCAGACUCCUACGGGAGGCAGCAGUGGGGAAUAUUGGACAAUGGGCGAAAUCCUGAUCCAGCAAUGCCGCGUGAGUGAUGAAGGCCUUAGGGUUGUAAAGCUCUUUUACCCGGGAUGAUAAUGACAGUACCGGGAGAAUAAGCUCCGGCUAACUCCGUG